rnacentral:rRNA from 1 species
GACGAACGCUGGCGGCGUGCCUAAUACAUGCAAGUUGAGCGAUGAAGAUUGGUGCUUGCACCAAUUUGCAGAGCAGCGAACGGGUGAGUAACGCGUGGGGAAUCUGCCUUUGAGCGGGGGACAACAUUUGGAAACGAAUGCUAAUACCGCAUAACAACUUUAAACAUAAGUUUUAAGUUUGAAAGAUGCAAUUGCAUCACUCAAAGAUGAUCCCGCGUUGUAUUAGCUAGUUGGUGAGGUAAAGGCUCACCAAGGCGAUGAUACAUAGCCGACCUGAGAGGGUGAUCGGCCACAUUGGGACUGAGACACGGCCCAAACUCCUACGGGAGGAAGCAGUAGGGAAGCUUCGGCAAUGGACGAAAGUCUGACCGAGCAACGCCGCGUGAGUGAAGAAGGUUGUCGGAUCGUAAAACUCUGUUGGUAGAGAAGAACGUUGGUGAGAGUGGAAAGCUCAUCAAGUGACGGUAACUACCCAGAAAGGGACGGCUAACUACGUG